GGAUCCUUCUCGGAAGCCUUCUACAUCGACGACUAUAACCAAUGGUGUGCAGUCUAGACAGUGUCCUCUCUAGGCGACGUCGCCCCUGUGCUGGGAUGCUAUAUCACGAUAGCGGAUCAGCAGCCAGUUUUCUGGUCCACAGAUUAGGUGGUGGCGGUCUCGGUGUGAGAUCAAGAUAUAAUCGGUCGUCAUAGUCAGCAGCUAUGGCGGAAUAACGUUCCGUAGGUGAACCUGCGGAAGGAUCAUUAUCGAGCUAGGGUCCUUUGGGCCCCAUCUCCAACCCUUGUCUAAUCUACCAUGUUGCUUUGGCGGGCCCGUUCUCGACCGGACCGCUGGGGACUCCCCUCCCUGGCCCGUGCCCGUCAGUAGCCCCCAUCAAUUCUUAUCACGGUGAUGUCUAAGUAUGAAUAUAAUAAGUAAAACUUUCAACAACGGAUCUCUUGGUUCUGGCAUCGAUGAAGAACGCAGCGAAAUGCGAUAAGUAAUGCGAAUUGCAGAAUUCCGUGAGUCAUCGAAUCUUUGAACGCACAUUGCGCCCUCUGGUAUUCCGGAGGGCAUGCCUGUUCGAGCGUCAUUAUCAACCCUCAAGCUCGGCUUGCUGUUGGGUCUCGCCGUUGCAGAACGGCGGAUCCCCAAAGAUAAUGGCAGAGUCUGUAAGACCCUGGAUGCAGCGAGCUUCUAGCACGCAUCCGGACGGUGUUCAGGCUUGGUCUUAACCCACACAAUCUUCUGGUUGACCUCGGAUCAGGCAGGGAUACCCGCUGAACUUAAGCAUAUCAAUAAGCGGAGGAAAAGAAACCAACAGGGAUUGCCUCAGUAACGGCGAGUGAAGCGGCAACAGCUCAAAUUUGAAAUCUGGCCCCGUUGGGGGUCCGAGUUGUAAUUUGUAGAGGAUGCUUCGGGCAAGGCUGUGGUCUAAUUCGCUUGGAACAGCGAGUCAGAGAGGGUGAGAAUCCCGUCCAGGAUCGUAAGCCCGCGUCCAUGUGAAGCUCCUUCGACGAGUCGAGUUGUUUGGGAAUGCAGCUCUAAAUGGGUGGUAAAUUUCAUCUAAAGCUAAAUAUGGGCCAGAGACCGAUAGCGCACAAGUAGAGUGAUCGAAAGAUGNNAAGCACUUUGAAAAGAGAGUUAAACAGUAUGUGAAAUUGUUGAAAGGGAAGCGCUGGCAAUCAGACUUGUGACUGACGGUUCCCCCGGCCUUCUGGCCGGGCUACUCCGUCACGUCCAGGCCAACAUCGGUUUGGGUGGUCGGUAAAAGACCCCGGGAAUGUAUCUACCUUCGGGUCGACUUAUAGCCCGGGGUGCAAUGCGGCCCACCUGGACCGAGGAACGCGCUCCGGCUC
rnacentral:rRNA from 1 species